rnacentral:misc_RNA from 1 species
GAUGAAGAACGUAGCGAAAUGCGAUACUUGGUGUGAAUUGCAGAAUCCCGUGAACCAUCGAGUCUUUGAACGCAAGUUGCGCCCGAAGCCAUUAGGCCGAGGGCACGCCUGCCUGGGCGUCACACGUCGUUGCCCCCCCCAUCUACUCCUUCGGGAUUGCGGGGGGCGGAUGAUGGCCUCCCGUGCGCCUCGCCGCGCGGUUGGCAUAAAUGCCAAGUCCUCGGCGAUGCACGCCACGACAAUCGGUGGUUGCGAAACCUCGGUUGCCCGUCGUGUGCGGUCGUCGCGCAUCGAGGGCUCGAAAAAAUUGCCGGGUUCCGGCUCGGCUUUCAACGCGACCCCAGGUCAGGCGGGGUUACCCGCUGAAUUUAAGCAUAUCAAUAAGCGGAGGA